UACGGGAGGCAGCAGUCGUCCAAUAUUGGGUAAUGGGGGGAACCCUGACCCAGCAACGCCGCGUGAGGGAAGAAGGUUUUCGGAUCGUAAACCUCUGUCCUUGGUGAAGAGGAAGAGNNNGGUNNCCAAGGAGGAAGCCCCGGCUAACUACGUUGCC
rnacentral:rRNA from 1 species